GGAAGCUGGUGGGAAAAUGUGUGGAGCUGGGCUUGCUGCUUCUGCUACUUCCCAGGAGACGGGGAAAAAAAGGAUGGUGCCUGGAUAGAGCUCCUCUUCCUCCUCUCCCCAGCACUACGCACCAGCCCACUCACCACAGGAAGACAAACAUCUUUGCAACGCUCCAGUAUCAUAAACAAGGGAACAUUGAGCAGGUAUUUGGUUAAACAAGAACUCUGAGCAGACUGAACAGCUGAGGAAAGGAGGAGACAUCGAGCUGUUGCAGGGUGGAAGGAAGGGCACAGCACUGGUUUUGGUAGCCCAAUAAGCCUGCUCGACCACUGAACCUGUCUGACCCUGCAGUCAAAGAAGUCUGAGCUGUUCCCAGCCUCAUCUCAGAUCCUCUCUCAGUUCUGGUGCAGGUAAGUCAAGGAUGAGGUUUAUUUUUCCCUACCUGGCACAUCUGCUUCUUUGUGUAUGGGU
rnacentral:lncRNA from 1 species